rnacentral:rRNA from 1 species
UACAGAGGGUGCGAGCGUUAAUCGGAAUUACUGGGCGUAAAGCGUGCGUAGACGGCUAUCUAAGUCGGGUGUGAAAGCCCCGGGCUCAACCUGGGAAUUGCAUUCGAGACUGAAUAGCUAGGGUACGGUAGAGGGAAGCGGAAUUUCCGGUGUAGCGGUGAAAUGCGUAGAUAUCUGGAGGAACACCGGUGGCGAAGGCGGCGUUCUGGACUGCAACUGACACUGAGGAACGAAAGCCAGGGGAGCAAACGGG